rnacentral:rRNA from 1 species
UACGUAGGGCGCGAGCGUUGUCCGGAAUUAUUGGGCGUAAAGAGCUCGUAGGUGGCUUGUUGCGUCUGCCGUGAAAGCCCGUGGCUUAACUACGGGUCUGCGGUGGAUACGGGCAGGCUAGAGGCUGGUAGGGGCAAGCGGAAUUCCCGGUGUAGUGGUGAAAUGCGUAGAGAUCGGGAGGAACACCCGUGGCGAAGGCGGCCAACUGGGC